rnacentral:rRNA from 1 species
UACGUCGGUGGCAAGCGUUGUCCGGAUUUCCUGGGCGUAAAGGGCUUGUAGGCGGUCCGUUAAGUCUGGUGUGAAAUCUCCCGGCUCAACUGGGAGGGGUCAUCGGAUACUGGCGGACUAGAGGUGGGUAGAGGAAAGCGGAAUUCCUGGUGUAGCGGUGAAAUGCGUAGAUAUCAGGAGGAAUACCAGUGGCGAAGGCGGCUUUCUGGGCCUAUCCUGACGCUGAGGAGCGAAAGCGUGGGGAGCAAACCGG